UAAGGAAUAUUGGACAAUGGGCGGAAGCCUGAUCCAGCCACGCCGCGUGCAGGAAGAAGGUCCUAUGGAUUGUAAACUGCUUUUGUCAGAGGCGAAAGUGUAUGAUUUAUCAUAUUUUGACGGUAUCUGGCGAAUAAGCACCGGCUAACUACGUGCCAGCAGCCGCGGUAAUACGUAGGGUGCAAGCGUUAUCCGGAUUUACUGGGUUUAAAGGGUCCGCAGGCGGUCUGUUAAGUCAGUGGUGAAAUAGCAGGGCUCAACCUUGUUGCUGCCAUUGAUACUGGCGGACUUGAGAAUAGUAGAGGUGGGCGGAAUGUAGCAUGUAGCGGUGAAAUGCGUAGAUAUGCUACAGAACACCGAUUGCGAAGGCAGCUCACUGGACUAUUUCUGACGCUAAUGGACGAAAGCGUGGGUAGCAAACAGG
rnacentral:rRNA from 1 species